rnacentral:rRNA from 1 species
CCCUUAGAUGUCCUGGGCCGCACGCGCGCUACACUGACAUGUUCAACAAGCCUCCUAGUUCGACAGGAUUUGGGAAAUCUUUGAACGCAUGUCGUGAUAGGGAUAGAUCAUUGCAAUUAUUGAUCUUGAACGAGGAAUUCCUAGUAAACGCGAGUCAUCGGCUCGCAUUGAUUACGUCCCUGCCCUUUGUACACACCGCCCGUCGCACCUACCGAUUGAAUGUUUCGGUGAAGAUUCCGGAUAGGACUUUUUUGAUUUAUUUCAAUUCUGUCUUAAAAGCUAUCUAAACCUCAACAUUUAGAGGAAGGUGAAGUCGUAACA